UACGUAGGGUGCGAGCGUUGUCCGGAAUUAUUGGGCGUAAAGAGCUCGUAGGCGGUCUGUCGCGUCGGAUGUGAAAACCCAGGGCUCAACCCUGGGCCUGCAUUCGAUACGGGCAGACUAGAGUUCGGUAGGGGAGACUGGAAUUCCUGGUGUAGCGGUGAAAUGCGCAGAUAUCAGGAGGAACACCGGUGGCGAAGGCGGCAUCCUGGACCAACACUGACGCUGAGUGAGCGAAAGCCAGGGGAGCAAACGGG
rnacentral:rRNA from 1 species